UACGUAGGGUGCAAGCGUUAUCCGGAUUUACUGGGCGUAAAGGGUUGCGUAGGCGGCAUCUAAAGUCAAAGCUCAAAGCCCAUUGCCUAACAAUGGAAGGGGCUUUGAUACUUGGAUGCUUUGAGUCUUUCAGAGGUUACUAGAACUUGCAGUGGAGCGGUGAAAUGCGUUGAGAUUGCAAGGAAUACCAAUGGCGUAGGCAUGUAACUGGGAAAGAUCUGACGCUGAUGCACGAAAGCUAGGGUAGCGAAAGGG
rnacentral:rRNA from 1 species